rnacentral:lncRNA from 1 species
UGCUGAUGACGAAAGAGGUCGAAAUCCACUGACAGGAAGAGCGGGAGGAAUAGGAGGAUUCAGACGAGUCAAAUCUCUCUCAACUGUAUGUCUCAAUCCUGCCACAAGGUGAGUAAUCAUCACGAGCUCCUGAUCUUCAAGCUUCCUUUUCCGAUGCUGGAGAAAUGUGAUAGAAAACAGAAAUUUUGAAUUCCAUGCACUGUUGGAAUUUUAUGUUUUGAUGCCAAAUUGAUCUUACUUUUCGUUCUUUUUUCUCUGCAAUCAAACGGAAGGACUUAAAUCGUUAUCCCAUACUCUUUCG